GACGAACGCUGGCGGCGCGCCUAAAACAUGCAAGUCGAACGAGAAGCCGGAGCUUGCUCCGGUGGAAAGUGGCGAACGGGUGAGUAACACGUGAGGAACCUGCCCUGAAGACCGGGACAACAUCGGGAAACCGUUGCUAAUACCGGAUACCUUCGAUUGAUCGCAUGUUCGAUCGAAGAAAUGGAUUCCGCUUCAGGAUGGCCUCGCGGCCUAUCAGCUUGUUGGUGAGGUAACGGCUCACCAAGGCAACGACGGGUAGCUGGUCUGAGAGGAUGUCCAGCCACACUGGGACUGAGACACGGCCCAGACUCCUACGGGAGGCAGCAGUUAGGAAUCUUGCGCAAUGGACGAAAGUCUGACGCAGCGACGCCGCGUGCGGGAUGAAGGCCCUCGGGUUGUAAACCGCUUUCAGCAGGGACGAAAAUGACGGUACCUGCAGAAGAAGCCCCGGCCAACUACGUG
rnacentral:rRNA from 1 species